UAGGGAGACCUACCCACUCAGAUACCGAGAUAGAUAAAUAUAGAGGUAAUGAGUUGGUCAACCUAGGUCGGUCGCAGGAAUGUUUAGGCUUUCAAACUAUGAUAUGGUUCGCAUUGGGGCUAUUAGCUCAGGUGGUUAGAGCGCACCCCUGAUAAGGGUGAGGUCCCUGGUUCGAGUCCAGGAUGGCCCACCUGAAAGUAAUUAGUAAUUACUAAUUCGUAGUUCGUAAUUAAUUACGAAUUAUGGAUUACGAAUUACGAAUUAUAAUCUGGGGGUUUAGCUCAGUUGGUAGAGCGCCUGCUUUGCAAGCAGGAUGUCAGCGGUUCGAGUCCGCUAACCUCCACCUGAAAAGUAAAAAUACCAAAGGAAAAGACAGCACCUAUUUGACAGGAAUAGAAUGCUGGGUGAAAUCCUAGCCAGAACCUUGAAAACUGCAUAGAAACGCGAGAUUUUAGCAGGCAGACACAGACAUAAUCAAGAAAGUGUUUGCAUGGAAAAAACCAAUUGUUAAGU
rnacentral:tRNA from 1 species